UCGAUCAGAGAAAGGGAAAACAAGGGGAACCCUUGUUCUUGCUAAAUUCAGUCAAUUGACAAAGGAUUUCAAAGAUAAUCAGUUGCAUGACUCUAAUUUUCGAUCAUCCAAACAUACAUAGUGAAGUGGCGUGAAAGAAGAAGGCUCAAACACUAAGAAAACGGGAGACUCACAAGAUCGAGUUGAAUUAAGUAUGGAUGGCAAACGGAGUAAGAGGAAGCAAUGAGGCAAGCAUGAACGUGAACACUAAAGGCGUGAAAGAAAAAUGCUCAAACACUAAGAAAACGGGAGACUCACAAGAUCGAGGUAAAUCCUCACUUUAGGCGACGUGGCAAUUUGGAGCGAGCACAUGCACACAUUAUGACCAUCAAGCGCUUUUGUUAUUUCGUGUUAAUGUUUUGGGUCAAAAUGGUUGUUUUUGUUUAACCUUGUUAGUCGUUGCACUUUUUAACACUUGAUGUCGUGGUUUUUAGUCAUGUCUAGGUGAACGGGUCAUAGACUUAUUUGUCUUGAUGAUGGUUAAAACAGGGAUAUGCUCGUCUUAUAGACGGGUCAUGCCCAAAUUUUGUUAAAAUUAUGCACUAAUGAUAUUAGUAUCGUUACCUCAA